GACGAACGCUGGCGGCGUGCUUAACACAUGCAAGUCGAACGGAAAGGCCCUGCUUUUGUGGGGUGCUCGAGUGGCGAACGGGUGAGUAACACGUGAGUAACCUGCCCUUGACUUUGGGAUAACUUCAGGAAACUGGGGCUACUACCGGAUAGGAGCCCCUGCUGCAUGGUGGGGGUUGGAUCGUUUCGGCGGUUGGGGAUGAACUCGCGGCUUAUCAGCUUGUUGGUGGGGUAGUGGCUUACCAAGGAUUUGACGGAUAGCCGGCCUGGGAGGGUGACCGGGCACAUGGGGACUGCGGGAGGGCCCAGACUCCUACGGGAGGCAACAGGGGGGAAUAUUGCACAAUGGGCCGGAGUCGGAUGCAGCAACGCCGCGUUCGUGAUGACCGCCUUCGGGUUGUAAACCGCUUUCGCCUGUGACGAAGCGUGAGUGACGGUAAUGGGUAAAGAAGCACCGGCUAACUACGUG
rnacentral:rRNA from 1 species